GUUUUCAUAGUUGAAUAACAACGGUGGUUUUUCGAGUCAUUGGUCUUGGUUAGAGUCCAGGUGAAAAUU
rnacentral:tRNA from 2 species